rnacentral:rRNA from 1 species
UACAGAGGUCUCAAGCGUUGUUCGGAUUCAUUGGGCGUAAAGGGUGCGUAGGUGGCGCCGUAAGUCGGGUGUGAAAUUUCGGAGCUUAACUCCGAAACUGCAUUCGAUACUGCGGUGCUUGAGGACUGGAGAGGAGACUGGAAUUCAUGGUGUAGCAGUGAAAUGCGUAGAGAUCAUGAGGAAGACCAGUGGCGAAGGCGGCUCACUGGACUGGUAUUGACGCUGAGGUGCGAAAGCGUGGGGAGCAAACAGG